GAUGAAGAACACAGCGAAAUGCGAUAAGUAAUGUGAAUUGCAGAAUUCAGUGAAUCAUCGAAUCUUUGAACGCACAUUGCGCCCCCUGGUAUUCCGGGGGGCAUGCCUGUUCGAGCGUCAUUUCACCACUCAAGCCUCGCUUGGUAUUGGGCAACGCGGUCCGCCGCGUGCCUCAAAUCGACCGGCUGGGUCUUCUGUCCCCUAAGCGUUGUGGAAACUAUUCGCUAAAGGGUGUUCGGGAGGCUACGCCGUAAAACAACCCCAUUUCUAAGGUUGACCUCGGAUCAGGUAGGGAUACCCGCUGAACUUAAGCAUAUCAAUAAGCGGAGGA
rnacentral:misc_RNA from 1 species